rnacentral:rRNA from 1 species
AGUGAACGCUGGCGGUAGGCCUAACACAUGCAAGUCGAACGGCAGCACAGUAAGAGCUUGCUCUUACGGGUGUCGAGUGGCGGACGGGUGAGGAAUACAUCGGAAUCUACUUUUUCGUGGGGGAUAACGUAGGGAAACUUACGCUAAUACCGCAUACGACCUACGGGUGAAAGCAGGGGAUCUUCGGACCUUGCGCGAUUGAAUGAGCCGAUGUCGGAUUAGCUAGUUGGCGGGGUAAAGGCCCACCUAGGCGACGAUCCGUAGCUGGUCUGAGAGGAUGAUCAGACACACUGGCACUGAGACACGGUCCAGACUCCUACGGGAGGCAGCAGUGGGGAAUAUUGGACAAGGGGCGCAAGCCUGAUCCAGCCAUACCGCGUGGGUGAAGAAGGCCUUCGGCUUGUAAAGCCAUUUUGUUGGGAAAGAAAAGCAGCAGGUUAAUACCCCGCUGUUCUGACGGUACCCAAAGAAUAAGCACCGGCUAACUUCGUG